rnacentral:rRNA from 1 species
CUGUACGAGUUUGAUCAUGGCUCAGGAUGAACGCUAGCGGCAGGCCUAACACAUGCAAGUCGAGCGGGAUUCGGUAGCUUGCUACCGAUGAGAGCGGCGCACGGGUGCGUAACGCGUAUACAAUCUGCCUCUUACUGCGGGAUAGCCCAGGGAAACUUGGAUUAACACCGCAUAGCAUAGUGUUCCGGCAUCGGGACGUUAUUAAAGGUUACGGUAAGAGAUGAGUAUGCGUCCUAUUAGCUAGUUGGUAAGGUAACGGCUUACCAAGGCGACGAUAGGUAGGGGCCCUGAGAGGGGGAUCCCCCACACUGGUACUGAGACACGGACCAGACUCCUACGGGAGGCAGCAGUGAGGAAUAUUGGACAAUGGGCGCAAGCCUGAUCCAGCCAUGCCGCGUGCAGGAAGACGGCCCUAUGGGUUGUAAACUGCUUUUGUACGGGAAGAAACACCACUACGCGUAGUGGCUUGACGGUACCGUAAGAAUAAGGAUCGGCUAACUCCGUG